CCCUACUGCUAUCGGGAUGGGACUAAGACAUGCUAGUUGUGCGCCUCCAAGCCAUGGUGAGGCGCGGCGCACAGCUCAGUAACACGUGGUUAACCUGCCCUUGGGACGGAAACACCCCCGGGAAACUGGGGCUAAUUUCCGAUAGGUGAAGGCUCCUGGAAUGGAUCUUCGCCUAAAGGGCGCUUAGGCCAUGCUUCUAGGCGCUGCCCAAGGAUGGGGCCGCGGCCGAUCAGGUUGUUGGUGAGGUAAUGGCUCACCAAGCCUUUAACCGGUUCGGGCCGUGGGAGCGGGAGCCCGGAGAUGGGCACUGAGACAAGGGCCCAGGCCCUACGGGGCGCAGCAGUCGCGAAAACUUCGCAAUACGCGAAGGCGUGACGGGGCUAUCCCGAGUGCCGUCCGCUGAGGAUGGCUUUUCCCCAGUGUAGAUAGCUGGGGGAAUAAGGAGAGGGCAAGUCUGGUGUCAGCCGCCGCGGUAAUACCAGCUCUCCGAGUGGUGGGGACGUUUAUUGGGCCUGAAGCAUCCGUAGCCAGCUGAGCAAGUCCCCAGUUAAAUCCAGCGAUUUAAUCGUUGGACUGCUGGGGAUACUGUCCGGCUAGGGGGUGGGAGAGGCCGACGGUAUUCCCGGGGUAGGGGUGAAAUCCUAUAAUCCCGGGAGGACCACCAGUGGCGAAGGCUGUUGGCUAGAACAUGCCCGACGGUGAGGGAUGAAAGCUGGGGGAGCGAACCGGAUUAGAUACCCGGGUAGUCCCAGCUGUAAACGAUGCAGGCUAGGUGUUAGGGCGGCCACGUGCCGCUCUAGUGCCGCAGGGAAGCUGUUAAGCCUGCCGCCUGGGGAGUACGGCCGCAAGGCUGAAACUUAAAGGAAUUGGCGGGGGAGCACCACAAGGGGUGAAGCUUGCGGUUU
rnacentral:rRNA from 1 species